UUGGGACUGAAGUCUCUGGUCUGAUGAUUUAAGUUAUGUAAUUAUUUGUAGAAGAGUCGUCUACAAACAAAGAGUGAUAUUUAGGGCACAGCUGUAGCUGUGGGGAAGUUCAUGAAUGUGAUAGUUGAUGUUUCAGAAAAAAGGAAGAUGUUUGAGAACCAACAAACCACAGACCACAGAUGAACAAAGGUGAUGUGGCACUAGGAGGAUUUUAUACCAGAUGCCCUACAUAUUACUGCAUUUAGAGGAAGAAAAGCAGCACAUG